rnacentral:lncRNA from 1 species
AAUCGGAGUUCAUAAAUAACGAAACAGCUGGUGUAAAAUUUACAGGGUUAUAAAUGUUCAUAAGUUGUAGAAUUUUUCGAACUAAUACCUUUAUGUUAUGUUUGAGGUUUUUUAUUGAUAUUAUAUUUUGAUGUUUUGGAAGGAUUAAGAGCAAGUAAAAAUUAAGCGGACAAACCAGGUGCUUGAAUCGUAACCAGCAAUUGUGGCC